rnacentral:rRNA from 1 species
UUGAACGCUGGCGGCAGGCUUAACACAUGCAAGUCGAGCGGGGGAAGGUAGCUUGCUACCGGACCUAGCGGCGGACGGGUGAGUAAUGCUUAGGAAUCUGCCUAUUAGUGGGGGACAACAUCUCGAAAGGGAUGCUAAUACCGCAUACGUCCUACGGGAGAAAGCAGGGGAUCUUCGGACCUUGCGCUAAUAGAUGAGCCUAAGUCGGAUUAGCUAGUUGGUGGGGUAAAGGCCUACCAAGGCGACGAUCUGUAGCGGGUCUGAGAGGAUGAUCCGCCACACUGGGACUGAGACACGGCCCAGACUCCUACGGGAGGCAGCAGUGGGGAAUAUUGGACAAUAGGGGGAACCCUGAUCCAGCCAUGCCGCGUGUGUGAAGAAGGCCUUAUGGUUGUAAAGCACUUUAAGCGAGGAGGAGGCUACUUUAGUUAAUACCUAGAGAUAGUGGACGUUACUCGCAGAAUAAGCACCGGCUAACUCUGUG